rnacentral:rRNA from 1 species
CAGUAGCCGCGGUAAAACGGAGGGAGCUAGCGUUGUUCGGAAUUACUGGGCGUAAAGCGCGCGUAGGCGGUUACUCAAGUCAGAGGUGAAAGCCCGGGGCUCAACCCCGGAACUGCCUUUGAAACUAGGUGACUAGAAUCUUGGAGAGGUCGGUGGAAUUCCGAGUGUAGAGGUGAAAUUCGUAGAUAUUCGGAAGAACACCAGUGGCGAAGGCGACUGACUGGACAAGUAUUGACGCUGAGGUGCGAAAGCGUGGGGAGCAAACAGGAUUAGAUACCCGCGUAGUCCCUGUCUCUUAUAC